rnacentral:rRNA from 1 species
AUCUACGGCCAGGCCACCUUGAACAAGCUUGAUCCCGUCUGAUUUCGGAAGCUAAGUAGGGUUGGACCUGGUUAGUACUUGGAUGGGAGACCACCUAGGAAGACCAGGUGCUAUAGGCG